rnacentral:rRNA from 1 species
ACAUCCAGAGAACUUGGCAGAGAUGCCUUGGUGCCUUCGGGACCUCUGAGACAGGUGCUGCAUGGCUGUCGUCAGCUCGUGUUGUGAAAUGUUGGUUAAGUCCCGCAACGAGCGCAACCCCUAUCCUUUGUUGCCAGCGAUUCGGUCGGGAACUCAAAGGAGACUGCCGGUGAUAAACCGGAGGAAGGUGGGGAUGACGUCAAGUCAUCAUGGCCCUUACGAGUAGGGCUACACACGUGCUACAAUGGCGCAUACAAAGAGAAGCGACCUCGCGAGAGCAAGCGGACCUCAUAAAGUGCGUCGUAGUCCGGAUCGGAGUCUGCAACUCGACUCCGUGAAGUCGGAAUCGCUAGUAAUCGUAGAUCAGAAUGCUACGGUGAAUACGUUCCCGGGCCUUGUACACACCGCCCGUCACACCAUGGGAGUGGGUUGCAAAAGAAGUAGAUAGCUUAACCUUCGGGAGGGCGUUUACCACUUUGUGAUUCAUGACUGGGGUGAAGUCGUAACAAGGUAGGCGUAGCGAG